UACGAGGGGGGCGAGCGUUGUUCGGAAUUAUUGGGCGUAAAGGAUGCGUAGGCGGACAUUUAAGUCAGAUGUGAAAUACCCGAGCUUAACUUGGUGCUGCAUUUGAAACUGGGUGUCUAGAGUGCAGGAGAGGUAAGUGGAAUUCCUAGUGUAGCGGUGAAAUGCGUAGAGAUUAGGAAGAACACCAGUGGCGAAGGCGGCUCACUGGCCCGGUACUGACGCUGAGGUGCGAAAGCGUGGGGAGCAAACAGG
rnacentral:rRNA from 1 species